CAAACUGUCUCUGUAAAUAUGUUUUGGCCAACAUUCUUGGUUCUCUUUAUUUUGCUAUUGUUUGAAGAUGUUAAUGGUUUUAUUGUAACUUUUAAUAAGGGUAAAAAAAAAUAAAUGUUCAAUCCCCUCUCUCUGAGUUCUGCCUUGUGUUUUAACCCUCUAAACACACACAUACACUGGUUAGAAAAGGUUGCAAAAAGCUUUGCAGGAUAUAGAGAUAUUCUGGAGUAUGUUGCACAAUACAGUCUAAAGAUGAAUCUCAUGAGUGAAUAGAAGCACAAAAAAGUGCUAAUUCAACAAAAUUUAUACUCAUAAGAUGAUACAUUUCAAGUGUAGGCAAGACUGCUGACUUGACGCUUUUCUAACACCCUGGAAGAAGAGGGUAAGCCACAAAAAGACAUUGUUGAAGAAGACGGUUGUUCAGAGCGUGGUCUAAAAGCAUAUUGAUGGAAAGUUGUGUGGAAGAGAAAAGUGGUAUAAAAUAAUCUAAAGCGAUAAUAGCAGCCUCUCCAGGACUCCCUCUCAAUCUUUAAGAGGAUUGUGAGGUAAAGCCCAUUCAUAAGUUUGAGCGAUGGGUUCAAAAUGCGUGGACCAGAAGUCUCCAAGAGCGCUAUCACACAGACCUGUACUCUCAGAUUACUUGUGCGAAGCCAUUUCUGAACCAGAGAGAAUAACAAAUGUUUUACUGGAGCCAAGGAGAAAAUUGGGAGGGCAGUGUUGCUCUGUGGCCCACUGUCCCAGUUUCCAGAUGAAUGUAGUUUUUCCAUUAUUUUUGCAAAACAGACUUUCAGAGGAUGGAGAUAAAGUGGAGACGUACACAGUCCAAGUUGCUUGAGGUUGUGAAGUUUCCAGAGUCAUAUUAGUUUGAGGAACCACGCCAUCUGCUUGUUUUCCUUUGUGGUUUAUGAGGACCUUACAGCACCACAUCCUUGUCUCUCUGACGUAACCGUGUGUCUUGGAGGCUGCAUAGACUGUCAAAAUAUCAACACUUGGUUUAAUGACCACGGCAUUAGUGAGGGGCCAGAAAAGUCUCCUGGCCUUGAAACCACAGAGAAUCUAUGGAACAUUGUCAAGAGGAAGAUGAGACACAAGAUCCAGCAACGCAGAUGAAGGCUGCAAAGAAACGGGUUUCCUUAAUGCAUCAGUCAGAGGUGGACCAACUCUUUCCCAAGAUGCAUUAAUACAGUAAUUCAUGUUAAAGGAGAGCUCAAUCAAGUAUUUAGA